rnacentral:rRNA from 1 species
GACGAACGCUGGCGGCGCGCCUAACACAUGCAAGUCGAGCGAGAACCAACUCUUCGGGGUUGGGGACAGCGGCGAACGGGUGAGUAACACGUGGGUAACCCACCCUCGGUUCUGGGAUAGCCCGGGGAAACCCGGAUUAAUACCGGAUGGCCUUCCGAGCCCUCGGGCGCGGAAGAAAAGGUAGCUUCGGCCUCCGACCGAGGACGGGCCCGCGGUGCAUUAGCUAGUUGGUGAGGUAACGGCGCACCAAGGCAACGAUGCAUAGCCGACCUGAGAGGGUGAUCGGCCAGACGGGGACUAAGACACGGCCCAGACUCCUACGGGAGGCAGCAGUAGGGAAUCUUCCGCAAUGGACGAAAGUCUGACGGAGCAACGCCGCGUGAGUGAUGAAGGCUUUCGGGUCAUAAAACUCUGUUGUUAGGGAAGAACAGGUACAAGAGUAACUGCUUGUACCUUGACGGUACCUAACCAGAAAGCCACGGCUAACUACGUGCCAGCCGCCGCGGUAAAAC